UACGGGGGGGGCAAGCGUUGUUCGGAAUUACUGGGCGUAAAGGGCGCGUAGGCGGUUCGCUAAGUUGGAUGUGAAAACUCUGGGCUCAACCCAGAGCCUGCAUCCAAAACUGGCGGGCUAGAGUUCUGGAGGGGUAGCGGAAUUCCUGGUGUAGCGGUGAAAUGCGCAGAUAUCAGGAGGAACACCAAUGGCGAAGGCAGCACUCUGGGACGUGACUGACGCUGAGACGCGAAAGCGUGGGGAGCAAACAGG
rnacentral:rRNA from 1 species